UGCACUAUCGUAUCUGCGCCCAGCAGUACUUCUUGAUGGGUUGUUCAUAAAAUAGUGCUAGAGGAAUUCAUCAUUUGGCAUCGUUGGUUGGCAUGCUGAAUAUGUUUGUUGACCUGGUAUUUUUGUUGAUACACUA